GUAUAUAUUUUAUUGCACUUUAGGUUCUGGGGUACAUGUGCAGAACAUGCAGGAUUGUUGCAUAGUUACAUACAUGGCAAUGUGGUUUGCUGCCUCCAUUCCCCUGUCACCUAUAUCUGACAUUUCUUCCCAUGUUAUCCUUCUCCAACCUCCCUAACCUCUACUGUCCCUCUCUAUUUCCCCCCAACAGACCCCAGUGUGUGAGGCUCACCUCCCUGUGUCCACGUGGUCUCAUUGUUCAACACCUGCCUUUGAGGGGAGAAAAAUGCCAGUCUUUAAUGAACUCGGAGCUAAAGUAAAUUAGCUGUUUUCUUCAGGUUUUUUCAAGUAAAGGAUUAUAUCAUCUACAAACAAGGAUAAAUUGACUUCUUCCUUAAUUGUAAGUAUUUUAUUUUUCUCUCUUGUCUAAUUGCUCUAGCUAGGACUUCCAGUACUAUGUUGAGUAACUCUGGUGACAGUGGGCAUUCUUAUUGUGUUCUGAAUCUUAAAGGCUUUGAGCUUUUCCCUAUUCAGUAUGACACUAGUUGUGGAUCUGUUUUAUAUGACUUUAUUAUGUCAAGCCACGUUCCUUCUAUACCCAGUUGUUUAAGGGUUUUUAUCAUGAUGGGAUGUUGAAUUUUAUCAAAUGGUUUUUUAGUAUCAAUUGAAAUGAUCUUCUGGUUAUUGUCCUCCCUUCUGUUGAUAUGAUGUAUUACAUUGACUGAUGGUCUGUGGUUUUCUUUUUUUUGAUAUGUCUUUGUCCGGUUUUGAUAUUAGGGUAAUACUGGCCUCAUAGAGUGAGUUUGGAAGUAUUCUCUCCUCCUCUAUUUUUCA